rnacentral:rRNA from 1 species
AUGCACGCUGGCGGCGUGCCUCAUACAUGCCAGUCGAGCGAACAGACGAGGAGCUUGCUCCUCUGACGUUAGCGGCGGACGGGUGAGUAACACGUGGAUAACCUACCUAUAAGACUGGGAUAACUUCGGGAAACCGGAGCUAAUACCGGAUAAUAUAUUGAACCGCAUGGUUCAAUAGUGAAAGACGGUUUUGCUGUCACUUAUAGAUGGAUCCGCGCCGCAUUAGCUAGUUGGUAAGGUAACGGCUUACCAAGGCAACGAUGCGUAGCCGACCUGAGAGGGUGGUCGCCCCCACGGGAACGAGGACGCGGUCCAGCCUCCUGGGGGGGGCACAAGAGGGGAACCUGCGGAAAGGGGGGGAACCGUGGCAGAGCAGCCCCGCGGGAGAAUGAAAGGUCUCGGGACCUUAAACCUUUUUUAUGGGGGAAAAACAAAUGUGUAAGAAAAUCUGCACUUCUGGACGUAACCAAAUAAGAAAGCAACGGCUAACUACGGC